rnacentral:lncRNA from 1 species
UUUUUCUUCUUUAUGGAGAGAAAGUAAUUCAUUAAUCUCACUGAAUCCAUCUACCAAGAGUAGAUUGUUUGUUAACUAGGCCUGCUAUUACACUGCUUCUCUGUUAUAUAUUAUGUGCAAACUUCCUCUGUGUUAUGUGGUGAAAAUUGCCAUCAUAUCGAUUUCCACACAAUAAGUUGAUGAAUUUAUGCCACAUGAUCUUUGCUCAAUUUAAUAUAUAUCACAAUUUGAUGAUGAAUUUCUUGUUCUCAGUACAUGCCACCAUGUUCAGGAUGUUAUGUACUAAAUACCUCCAUCUAAACAAGUUGUAAAAAUAUUUUUUUCCUGCCCUUUACUCUGUUUUAUUUAUUUAUAUUAGAAAUUGGUGCAGAGUUAGAUAUGUGUAGAGCUUGAAGAUUUGUCCUCUUAAUUACAGAUGGUGCCCAACAUUUGGUAAUCUUAUAAACCUGACCAAAGCUAACUCUUAACUAUACCAGGUAUAUGGUCUUCUCCGUAGCAGCAGUAGUUGAGACAUCAUUAGUAGUGGUUAGGUUUGCACUUAUGGUACGAAAUGAUUCUACAAAGUUUAGUUGACAGGUUUGUAUGGCCUCAACUACUGUUGCUAUAGUACUUAGUUAUGUGAUGUGUGUUUUGUUAUUUUAUCAUUUGAAUUUUAUUUGACACAUUUUUUUGUGUUUUGUUACUUUGUCAUUUGACUUUCAUUACUGCCUUGAUGUCUAAUUCAAUGAUUACCUGACUUCUUAAUAUGGUUGUAUAAAUAAUCCUUCUGUUUUCCCUUAUUCUUCUGGUUUGCAAGCUAACAGUUUAAUUGAUGUUGAGUUUCUUCGCUUAUUGCAGCAGAGGUGAUGGAUUUUGUACAACUGUAUUUCUGGAAAUGCGUGUACACAGAAUUACAAUCUGAAGGAGCGAUGGAAGUGAAGAUUGCGCGCUUUUAUUUAAGAUUACUAAUAGUAAAUGGUAUAUUGUUUUUGCUUCAGAUUUAGGAGUGUUAGAUCGGCUACAUAGUGCAUUUGUUCAGUCUCAAAUUUCUAGUGUUAUUACUAGCAUAUUCUCUAAUUCUUGGUAUUAUUCAACAUCUGCUCUGUCUCAAUUCUGUAUCACAUCUCAUAUUGAAUUGUGGAUCAUCAUUUUGCUUAAAAUGGUGUUGCCUUUGAGUGUUUUGAUUUUAUGCAGGUUUGGCAGUUAAUUUGUGUUCUUGGAGAUUGAACUUUUUCAGCGAGAAUUAUUUGGGUUCGGAAGCUGCCCUGAAGCGGUGGUGAAGUGUUGGAGACUAAAAAUCUGCUAGUAGUGCAUUUUCUUUGAAGCCAUGUUACUCUUUUCUUUAACAAAAAUGCUUAAAGCGCUUUCUAGAUAUGCUUGUGAUGUUUUGAAGUCAUGUUGGAACUCUUUAUUGUCAUGUGAACAAUUGAUAUUUUUGAAUGAAUAUAAUUUGGUUGUCCUAUUGUAAAUUCUGUUGCAUUGAGAAAACAGGCAGGACAAAAAAG